AUAUUUUUAAAAUGAGAUUGCCUCCUCUAUUUAAUGAGCUUACUAUUGUCAUCAUCAGUUCAUUCUUUUCUCUUGCAGUUGUAUCGAGGGCUGCAGGAGAAACAAACUAAAGGAAGUGGGGGCGUUUGAGGAGUAUGUGGAUACCAGCAUCACAAUUGGAAUUGCAGAUGGCGCCUGACCUGCGUCACUUCGGCUCGCCAUCGUUCUGUUCGAGUUGGUGAAAGAGGAGGGAGGGGCUAGUUGUCUCUACUUGUAGUCUUUCUACAAUUCAUCCUUCGUUUUGUCGGCUACUGUUAGCCGAUGACGAGGUAUUUGAAGAUAAUUUGCAGUAUCGAGAUAAAACGAUCUAAUCGUGUCUAAAAAGAGAAAGGAAGGAAAAGGAGGGAGGAAAUAAGGAUCCAACGAACAUAUCCGAUUUUUUCGGGCCUUGAAAAUUAUAAAAUAUCGUGAUGUUAUAUUCGGUGCUUCUGGUUGGCAGUAUAAAUCGAUUGAUAUGAGAUCGUGGAUUUAUUGACAUAUCUAUUUACAACGGUCAUUCAAUCAGAGGAUAACCUGCUUCAAGCGAAAUAACUCGAGGAAAUAAACUUAAAAGAGUUAAAUUUCAUGAAAAUGUUCGACCGUCUUCUUCGUCAGCAGUUUUACAAGUAAAGAAAAAUGGCGUCGAUAGCUUCUAGAUCGCGCAACCGCCGAG